rnacentral:rRNA from 1 species
AGAUGCUGCCAUACCACCUCGAGAAUGCCCGAUACCGGCAGAUCUCGGAAGUUAAGCAAGAUCACGCCUGGUUAGUACUUUAAUGUGAGACCACUGGGAAUACCAGAUGCAGCAGUGG